UGAGGAAUAUUGGGCAAUGCCCGCAAGGGUGACCCAGCAACGCCGCGUGGAGGAUGAAUGUCGUAAGAUUGUAAACUCCUGUUAGAGGGGAAGAAUAGUACCGGUUGGACCGGUAUAUGACAGUACCUUAGAGAAAGCCCCGGCUAACUACGUGCCAGCAGCCGCGGUAAUACGUAGGGGGCAAGCGUUGUCCGGAUUUACUGGGUGUAAAGGGCGCGCAGGCGGGAUAAAAAGUCAGUGGUGAAAUCCUACAGCUUAACUGUAGAACUGCCUUUGAUACUUUUAUUCUUGAGUUCGGGAGAGAGAGACGGAAUUCCAGGUGUAGUGGUGAAAUACGUAGAUAUCUGGAAGAACACCAGUUGCGAAGGCGGUCUCUUGGUCCGACACUGACGCUGAGGCGCGAAAGCGUGGGGAGCAAACA
rnacentral:rRNA from 1 species